AACGCUAGCUACAGGCUUAACACAUGCAAGUCGAGGGGAAACGAUAUUGGAAGCUUGCUUCCGAUAGGCGUCGACCGGCGCACGGGUGAGUAACGCGUAUCCAACCUGCCCAUCACUUGGGAAUAACCUUGCGAAAGUAAGACUAAUGCCCAAUGACAUUUAUAGAAGGCAUCUGAAAUGAAUUAAAGAUUUAUCGGUGAUGGAUGGGGAUGCGUCUGAUUAGCUUGUUGGCGGGGUAACGGCCCACCAAGGCGACGAUCAGUAGGGGUUCUGAGAGGAAGGUCCCCCACAUUGGAACUGAGACACGGUCCAAACUCCUACGGGAGGCAGCAGUGAGGAAUAUUGGUCAAUGGGCGAGAGCCUGAACCAGCCAAGUAGCGUGCAGGAUGAUGGCCCUAUGGGUUGUAAACUGCUUUUAUAGGGGAAUAAAGUGAGCCACGUGUGGUUUUUUGCAUGUACCCUAUGAAUAAGGACCGGCUAAUUCCGUGCCAGCAGCCGCGGUAAUACGGAAGGUCCGGGCGUUAUCCGGAUUUAUUGGGUUUAAAGGGAGCGUAGGCCGGAGAUUAAGCGUGUUGUGAAAUGUAGAUGCUCAACAUCUGAACUGCAGCGCGAACUGGUUUCCUUGAGUACGCAUAAAGUGGGCGGAAUUCGUGGUGUAGCGGUGAAAUGCUUAGAUAUCACGAAGAACUCCGAUUG
rnacentral:rRNA from 1 species